rnacentral:ribozyme from 1 species
UGCGCAGCAUCUCCUAUCCCUACCUACUCGUGGUACUGGCCGGGGUACGAGUAACCUUGGGGAAGAUCGGGUAAUCAAACCUGGUGGGAACUUUAGUCGUAUGCUGACAGGGAAGG